rnacentral:misc_RNA from 1 species
GAUGAAGAACGUAGCGAAAUGCGAUAAGUAAUGUGAAUUGCAGAAUUCAGUGAAUCAUCGAAUCUUUGAACGCACAUUGCGCCCGCCAGUAUUCCGGCGGGCAUGCCUGUUCGAGCGUCAUUUCAACCAUCAAGCCCCCGGCUUGUGUUGGGGACCUGCGGCUGCCGCAGGCCCUGAAAACCAGUGGCGGGCUCGCUAGUCACUCCGAGCGUAGUAAUACAUCUCGCUCAGGGCGUGCUGCGGGUUCCGGCCGUUAAAAAGCCUUAUUUACCCAAGGUUGACCUCGGAUCAGGUAGGAAGACCCGCUGAACUUAAGCAUAUCAAUAAGCGGAGGA